rnacentral:rRNA from 1 species
AUGCAUGGUGGGCUGAUUUGGAAUCAUGUGGCUCAACUCACCAAAUUGUGGUCUCUGCUCUCUUAUAUAAACAUUUCUGAAGACGUCCACGACACUAUUGUUUGGAAGCUCUCCCCUAAUGGGGAAUACUCAGCCAAAUCAGCUUAUAAGGCGCAAUUCAUGGGAGCUAUCCACGCGCCCAUGAACAAGGUCAUUUGGAAAGUCUGGGCACCCCCCAAAGUCAAACUCUUUGCGUGGCUAGCCAUCCAAAAUAGGGCAACCACUGAUCGUCUGGAGCGGCGCGAGAUGCAAAACUAUGGUCUUUCCCAUUAUGUAAGAGGGAGUUCGAGUCUGCCGCUCACCUUUUGUACAGAUGUCGGUACACUAUGUGGAUGUAGGUGA